UCUUGGUUUGUUUUAAACAGCUGCAUACAAUUCCAUUCUGUGAAAGCAUCAUAGUUUCCUUAACCAGUCCCAAAGAUGAAUGCUUGAGUCACUGCCCAUAUUCUACUUUUACAAUGUUAUUCAUGAAAAACAAGAAAAACAAAUAGCAAUGCUUCUUUUUCAUCUCAAAUGCUUGUAGGCAUAUCUAUAGCAUAAAUUCUCAGGAGUGAGACUCCUGGAUCAAAACUUAACUCUGCAUUUUUUAAUUUUGAAAGAUAUUCCCUAAUUGCUCUCCACAGGAGUGGUCCUAAUCUGCAUAUCCAAGAGCAAUGCAUGUGAACCUACGUUUCCACAGCCUCACCCACAGAAUGUGUGCUCAAACAUUUGGAUUUUUGCCCAUCUACUAGGUAGCCAAAACAGAAGACAGAGUUAUUGUAACUAGAUUGCCAGAAAGCAGAAAAUUUACCAGGCUGUGAAGUCAAAAGGAAAAUGUAAGAGGCUGCCGAGUUCUCAGAGUGGGAUGAAUAGAAUCAUUCAUGUUCAUCUGGAGAGAAACACGUUUUCCUGUGACUGAAUACUAAGAGAA